GAAUCAGUCUCUUAUAAGUCGGUUCAGUUAAACAGUUGUGCCCCAUUCCAGGAGGCGGCAUUGCAGAUGGGAUCUCAAAGCCAAGUCUCUACAUAUGAUGCAGGCAAACAGAUGUUUUUUUUCAUCCAGUGACCACCAAACGGAGGAAUUACGGUCUUGAAGGGGAACGUAGCAAUCACUUAAGGAAACCAGAUGGGAGACUGAAGGUGGCAAAAGGAGAGACAUAGCAAAUGGAAGGUGUCCUAGAAUCACUCUUAAACUUUGAGAAGUUUGAGAUAUUAGGUUGGUGCACGAGUAAUUGCAGGUUUUGUCAUUACUUUUAAGAGCACAAGGACCAAACAUAUGAAUAUUUAUACUAAAAAAUAAACUAGAGUUGCUUCA